GACGAACGCUGGCGGCGUGCCUAAUACAUGCAAGUCGAGCGAGUCUGCCUUGAAGAUCGGAGUGCUUGCACUCUGUGAAACAAGAUACAGGCUAGCGGCGGACGGGUGAGUAACACGUGGGUAACCUGCCCAAGAGAUCGGGAUAACACCUGGAAACAGAUGCUAAUACCGGAUAACAACAGAUGAUGCCUAUCAACUGUUUAAAAGAUGGUUCUGCUAUCACUCUUGGAUGGACCUGCGGUGCAUUAGCUAGUUGGUAGGGUAACGGCCUACCAAGGCGAUGAUGCAUAGCCGAGUUGAGAGGCUGAUCGGCCACAUUGGGACUGAGACACGGCCCAAACUCCUACGGGAGGCAGCAGUAGGGAAUCUUCCACAAUGGACGCAAGUCUGAUGGAGCAACGCCGCGUGAGUGAAGAAGGGUUUCGGCUCGUAAAACUCUGUUGUUGGUGAAGAAGGACAGGGGUAGUAACUGACCUUUGUUUGGCGGUAAUCAAUUAGAAAGUCACGGCUAACUACGUG
rnacentral:rRNA from 1 species